rnacentral:rRNA from 1 species
UCAKCYGUGAAAUCUCCGGGCUUAACCCGGAAAGKGCGKUUGAUACUGUAGCUAGAGUGUARAAGAGGCAACYGGAAUUCCKUGUGUAGCGGUGAAAUGCGUAGAUAUMCGGAGGAACACCUGUGGCGAAGGCGGGUUGCUGGGCUAACACUGACGCUGAGGCGCGAAAGCUAGGGGAGCAAACRGGAUUAGAUACCCCGGUAGUCCUMGCCUUAAACGAUGMUGACUUGGUGUCCGGGGUUUUAARUSCUGGGGUGCCGG